AUUGAACGCUGGCGGCAGGCCUAACACAUGCAAGUCGAGCGAGCGGCGGACGGGUGAGUAAUGUAUGGGGACUGCCCGAUAGAGGGGGAUAACUUUUGGAAACGGUUGCUAAUACCCCAUACUGUCGGAUAACCCAUAUGGUAUUAGCUAGUAGAUAAGGUAAUGGAUUACCAAGGCGACGAUCCCUACCUGGUCUGAGAGGCUGAUCAGCCACACUGGGACUGAGAAACGGCCCAGACUCCUACGGAGGCAGCAGUAGGGAAUAUUGCGCAAUGGGCGAAAGCCUGAUGCAGCCAUGCCGCGUGUAUGAAGAAGGCCCUAGGGUUGUAAAGUUCUUUCAGUCGGGAGGCGUUACCGAAAGAGAAAGCAACGGCUAACUCCGUGCCAGCAGCCGCGGUAAUAC
rnacentral:rRNA from 1 species